rnacentral:rRNA from 1 species
GACGAACGCUGGCGGCGUGCUUAACACAUGCAAGUCGAACGAUGAACCCGGAGCUUGCUCCGGUGGAUUAGUGGCGAACGGAUGAGUAACACGUGAGUAACCUGCCCUUGACUCUGGGAUAACUGCGGGAAACUGUAGCUAAUACCGGAUACGACCCUCGGCGGCAUCGCCAGGGGGUGGAAAGAAUUUCGGUCAAGGAUGGACUGGCGGCCUAUCAGGUAGUUGGUGAGGUAACGGCGCACCAAGGCGACGACGGGUAGCCGGCCUGAGAGGGUGACCGGCCGCACUGGGACGGCGACCAGGCCCAGACUCCUACGGGAGGCAGCUGUGGGGAAUAUUGCACAAUGGGCGCAAGCCUGAUGCAGCAACGCCGCGUGAGGGAUGACGGCCUUCGGGUUGUAAACCUCUUUUAGUAGGGAAGAAGCGAAAGUGACGGUACCUGCAGAAAAAGCACCGGCUAACUACGUGCCAGCCGCCGCAGUAA